rnacentral:lncRNA from 1 species
AAAAAUAAUAUUAGGACACAGGCAAUUCUUGAAUUCUGGUUCUUCUGUCUGAAUCCUCAGGCGAUGAAGCCUUCCUCUUGUUAGUAUUGUUGUUGUGAUCACUAUCUAUUAUGGUGUCAUGAAUGUUAGUUGUAUUAAGGAGGUGGGAAUGAAGUUUCCUCAGAUCUGCUAAUUUGACAGGUUUCAACAGGAAUUCUUCUGCUCCUCCUUCCAAGCACCUGCUUCAUUACAAUCGAAUGCAUUGAUGUAUCAGCAAAACCUAUGCAUAGUGAAUAAUCAAGAGAAAGCUAGUAAAAGACAAGUUUUAGGUUACAAGUUGAUUUUGUUUGUAGUUACCACCCUUCAAAUAGUUGCGUUGAUAUUGAAUACUUAGGUUACUUUACAUUGUAUUAUCAUGUAUUCAUUAGCUAAACAAGCCACAAUUGGGAAAACGUAAAUUUUUUGGUAUUCAUAAGUUUCCAUAUGAGUUGAUCAGGAUCCUUGAAUUCUUUAUCGUGCCUCCAUUGAGUUCAAUGCUAAAUUUUCAGAAAAAUAAAAGAACUAUAUUCAUAUCAGCCAAGUUAGAAUGUAGCAUAGUAUAUUUGUUGGGUCACACCAAUUUGAUAGAGAGUGAUUGACAGAUGGAGACAUAAUGUGAUUUGGCAAGAUGUGAUUGAAUGAAAAAAUUGAUUGUAUUUAAAACAAUUCAAAAAUGAAGUGUCAUGUGACAUUAUGCCAAUAAUUACGUCAAUAUGGCAUUACUCCUCGUAACUCGUAUUAAAGCUUCUUUAAAGCUUUUAAAUUCUUUUUUUUCACACCACUCAUUUCAUUGCUAGAUUAAUAGAAUGAUCCAAAAUAAUUAGAUUCUUAAUAGGUGAGCAUCCACAUUAUGCUAUAUUAGUUGGUCUAUUAUUUCCUCGUGGCGCAUUUAAAGUUCCUUGAUGUGUCUCUUAAAACUUGUUGAAAUAUGACUGCCGACAUACCAUUCAAGACUAAAUUUCAAUGUUAUAAUCUCUUGUUCUAGUGCCCCCUUAAAAUCCAUUUGAUCAGGGGUGGAUAUACAGAAUGGUCCAAAAUAGUUAGAUUCUUAAUAGAUGAGCACCCACAUUAUACUAUAUUAGUUUGGUCUAUUAUUUCCUCGUGACGCAUUUAAAGCUCCUUGAUGUAUCUGUUAAAACUUGUUGAUAUAUGAUUGCCGACAUACUAUUCAAGACAAAAUUUCAAUGUCACAAUUUCUUGUUCUAGUGCCCCUUUAAAACCCAUUUGAAUCAGGGGCGGAUUUAUGGAGGGUUACCUGCCCCCAUAAUAAAUUUGAAAUUCAAUAUAUUGCCCAAAUUUUUCACAGCAUACCAUAAAGGUCAUGGCAUAUCAGUAGCUGUACUGUGAAUAAUUGUAUUAUAAAAUGAUAGAUUGGGUACUAACAUCAAUAGGUAUAAUCUAUAAACAUGGCAGCAAAUCUUUAAAUAAGAAAAAGAAAUCAUAAUUGCAAAAACAGACAUGUAAAUUUUAUUUGCAACUUGACUUAUAAUUUUAUUUAUACAUCCUUGCACUUGGAUCAGUCAUGAAGUAGAAGAAAGUUGUAAAGACAUCUGACUUAUAUGGAAUUAUCCAUGGUUAAAAUUUCUCUUGCUUUAAUCUUGUUUAUUGUUUGUUUAUAUAAUACCUCCUUGUUGAUGUUUGAAAUACAGAUCUUAAUUUUUCCGUUGAAAUUCCACUGCUUUUGUAGGAUGCUAAUUGCUACUGCAAAUGAUAUCUCAAAUGAAACUUUUGACAUUAAAUGUUAUCCAAAAUUAUUUUUCAAGACAGAAAGUGGAAAUAUUUUGCUGUAUGAAGGAGAUAGAAUGAAGGAAGAACCAGAAUCAAGAAAAGAGAAGCUGUAAUUUAGGUAACUAAAUUUCAAAUACGAAUCAUUUGUUUAGGCAUUCUGGUGCGGGAAAGGAGCUUUUGGUUUUAAUUCUUGUCACGUUUUAUAAAUAUUGGUUCUCUUCUUUUUGCAGAUGGAGCAUCAUUAUCUUUGGCAAGUCAUUUCGUGAAAACAAUCGAGGAUGAUUUUAGCAUCUCGAGAAACCGGGAAAGAAAUCCUUCAUUGAUGAGAAUCUUCUCCUCCUCAAAACCUCCCAACCCCUCUCCUUUCUCCCUUGUGGCAUUUUCCGAUACCUAGAAUUAGAUAUUAAAAUAAAAGCAAGAAUCUCGUUUGGGAUACAAAUGCUAGUAUUAUUCAGGCGAACAUUCUUGACUAUUUUGUGCUCCUUAGCCCAACAUAUCAUUUUCUCCCUACAAAUUGUAUAUGGGCAAUUAUACCUUUCAGUAAGGAUUGAUGCCAAUAGCUGAAAUCUUGUAUAUGGGCAAUUAUACGGAUUGAUGCCAAUAGCUGAAAUCUUGGUAAUUGGUAUUACUAAAGUGAAGUUAUAUGUGGGUUUGUUUCAUCUUUCGUGCAUGAAUUAUGCGCACUUCAAUAUUCGAAGUUACACUGCACGUAUAUGCUAGCAAAACAUUUCGCAAGUAAUACUGUCAUUCUAUUACUGUUAAAUUAGAGCGAGUACGAAUUCAGGACAUGGAAAAAAUAAUAUUAGGACACAGGCAAUUCUUGAAUUCUGGUUCUUCUGUCUGAAUCCUCAGGCGAUGAAGCCUUCCUCUUGUUAGUAUUGUUGUUGUGAUCACUAUCUAUUAUGGUGUCAUGAAUGUUAGUUGUAUUAAGGAGGUGGGAAUGAAGUUUCCUCAUAUCUGCUAAUUUGACAGGUUUCAACAGGAAUUCUUCUGCUCCUCCUUCCAAGCACCUGCUUCAUUACAAUCGAAUGCAUUGAUGUAUCAGCAAAAUCAAUGCAUAGUGAAUAAUCAAGAGAAAGCUAGUAAAAGACAAGUUUUAGGUUACAAGUUGAUUUUGUUUGUAGUUACCACCCUUCAAAUAGUUGCGUUGAUAUUGAAUACUUAGGUUACUUUACAUUGUAUUAUCAUGUAUUCAUUAGCUAAACAAGCCACAAUUGGGAAAACGUAAAUUUUUUGGUAUUCAUAAGUUUCCAUAUGAGUUGAUCAGGAUCCUUGAAUUCUUUAUCGUGCCUCCAUUGAGUUCAAUGCUAAAUUUCCAGAAAUAUAAAAGACAACUAGAUUCAUAGCAGCCAAGUUAGAAUGUAGCAUGGUAUAUUUGUUGGGUCACACCACUUUGAUAUAAAGUGAUUGACAGAUGGAGACAUAAUGUGAUUUGGCAAGAUGUGAUUGAAUGAAAAAAUUGAUUGUAUUUAAAACAAUUCAAAAAUGAAGUGUCAUGUGACAUUAUGCCAAUAAUUACGUCAAUAUGGCAUUACUCCUCGUAACUCGUAUUAAAGCUUCUUUAAAGCUUUUAAAUUCUUUUUUUUCACACCACUCAUUUCAUUGCUAGAUUUAUAGAAUGAUCCAAAAUAAUUAGAUUCUUAAUAGGUGAGCAUCCACAUUAUGCUAUAUUAGUUUGGUCUAUUAUUUCCUCGUGGCGCAUUUAAAGUUCCUUGAUGUGUCUCUUAAAACUUGUUGAAAUAUGACUGCCGACAUACCAUUCAAGACUAAAUUUCAAUGUUAUAAUCUCUUGUUCUAGUGCCCCCUUAAAAUCCAUUUGAUCAGGGGUGGAUAUACAGAAUGGUCCAAAAUAGUUAGAUUCUUAAUAGAUGAGCACCCACAUUAUACUAUAUUAGUUUGGUCUAUUAUUUCCUUGUGACACAUUUAAAGCUCCUUGAUGUAUUUGUUAAAACUUGUUGAUAUAUGAUUGCCGACAUACUACUCAAGACAAAAUUUCAAUGUCACGACAAAAUUUCAAUGUCACAAUUUCUUGUUCCAGUGCCCCUUUAAAACCCAUUUGAAUCAGGGGCGGAUUUAUGGAGGGUUACCUGUCCCCACAAUAAAUUUGAAAUUCAAUAUAUUGCCCAAUUUUUAGAAAAGUCCUUGUAAUUUUCAAUUUUUGCCCCCACAAUUAAUCUUUUGUGUAAUUUGUCCUCACAAAUUUUAUCUUCUAGCUCCUUUUGAUGUGUCUUUUACAUAAUGAUGUAGGGCCAUUAAUCAACUUCCCAAAGAAAUAAUCAAAUAACAAGAAAAAUAAAUAUAGUUCUUUGGGAAAGAAGAGAUGAGCACGAGCAUUUACAUGGUAAUUCUUGAUGGUAUAUUCUCGGACGACAUGACUACAACUGGGACAUAUUUUUGGUAUUCAUAAGUUUCCAUAUAAGUUGAUCAGGAUCCUUGAAUUCUUUAUCGUGCCUCCAUUGAGUUCAAUGCUAAAUUUUCAGAAAAAUAAAAGAACUAUAUUCAUAUCAGCCAAGUUAGAAUGUAGCAUAGUAUAUUUGUUGGGUCACACCAAUUUGAUAGAGAGUGAUUGACAGAUGGAGACAUAAUGUGAUUUGGUAAGAUGUGAUUGAAUGAAAAAGUUGAUUGUAUUUAAAACAAUUUAAAAGUGAAGUGCCAUGUGAUAUUAUGACAAUAAUUACGUCAAUAUGGCAUUACCUCGUACCUCGUGUUAAAGCUUCUUUAAAGCUUUUAAAUUCUUUUUCUUCACACCACUCAUUUCAUUGCUAGAUUAAUAGAAUGAUCCAAAAUAAUUAGAUUCUUAAUAGGUGAGCAUCCACAUUAUGCUAUAUUAGUUGGUCUAUUAUUUCCUCGUGGCGCAUUUAAAGUUCCUUGAUGUGUCUCUUAAAACUUGUUGAAAUAAGACUGCCGAUAUACCAUUCAAGACUAAAUUUCAAUGUUAUAAUCUCUUGUUCUAGUGCCCCUUUAAAAUCCAUUUGAUCAGGGGCGGAUUUCCAGAAUGGUCCAAAAUAAUUAGAUUCUUAAUAGAUGAGCAUCCACAUUAUGCUAUAUUAGUUUGGUCUAUUAUUUCCUCGUGACGCAUUUAAAGCUCCUUGAUGUAUCUGUUAAAACUUGUUGAUAUAUGAUUGCCGACAUACUAUUCAAGACAAAAUUUCAAUGUCACAAUUUCUUGUUCUAGUGCCCCUUUAAAACCCAUUUGAAUCAGGGGCGGAUUUAUGGAGGGUUACCUGCCCCCAUAAUAAAUUUGAAAUUCAAUAUAUUGCCCAAAUUUUUUCAAAAUUAAAAAAAAAAGUCCUUGUAAUUUUCAAUUUUGCCCCCACAAUUAAUAUUUUGUGUAAUCUGUCCCCACAAAUUUUAUCUUCUAGCUCCUUUUGAUGUGUCUUUUACAUAAUGAUGUAGGGCCAUUAAUCAACUUCCCAAAGAAAUAAUCAAAUAACAAGAAAAAUAAAUAUAGUUCAUUGGGAAAGAAGAGAUGAGCACGAGCAUUUACAUG